GAGCCGGUGGCCGCCUGGCACUCCGCGUCCCCUGGUGGAAGCGGCCGAGAGCCCGAGAACGGUGUCGUUAGCGGGAGAGAAAAGGAAUCCUGAGACAAGCGCUGGUUUUUAAGGAGAGCCGUGAAGCCCGGUGUCCCAAAUUCACCCCAAGAAGGGCUCCGUAAAGCCAGCGACUGUCCCUUCACCUUCCGCUCUGCCCACAGGCACCCUGCUGAUCUCAGCUCAGCUGUACCGUGAGGUCCGCAGGCGGAACCCUGGAAAAGGCGACCUCCACACUAAGCAGGGCCUGACACCCACGACUGCCAUUUGUGAUAGCCCCAGAAGCUCCGGGGGCGGAGCAGUGUCACACCCCACUUCAGAACUGCUAGAAAUCUACUGUGAAGGGCUACUCAGAAUGCAUCACCCAGGGUGCCCCGUGCCCUCCUCAUACAGAGCGAGCACAGACCAGUGUCUGCCAAACCCCUUCAAAGCCCUUCAGACCAGUGCAGCCCAUCUGUGCUAAUUAUACUCAUGAUACUCUGUUAUAUACUGUGUAUAUAAUGGUGUUAUUUAUUAACAGCUAAAUAACUAAAGCAUUUGGUGUGUUAUGUUGAGCAGUUUAAUUAAAGAUUUAUUAGCAGUUGCCCUUCUUAAAGUAGAUUUGAUCGUACAAACUCCAGAAAGUUUUCCGAUUGCAUUACCAAAAGUCUUCAGGUUUUUACAGUGCUCAGAGUUGAUGGUUAUAGAGUUGAUACACUGCAGAGUUGAUGGUUUGUCUGGGUUCCAGGAAAACCAGAAGGAUCACCCCUUUCCGAUCCCAAAGGAGAUGAAACCAGUUGUACAGACCUGCUCAGUCACUUCCUGUGCAUCACCUUGACUAAUGUUUAUCCUGAGAUGUUACAUUUACACUGUGAUUGGAUGCAUACCAUGAAGCCCACGUUAUUCCAGUGCUGCUCAGCCUGUCCUCCACCUUUUUUUCCUCCUCCUUGGGUACACCCCAUGGCAUCGUGCCUGGCCCUCAACUUCCUUUCCAGAGGGAUGACCACCCUGCAGCUCCAAGGGUGUGCAAAGACAUCUGACUGUGGUACCCUAUGACAACAUAGAGGUCACAGUGAAAUAUCAUCCCCAGCAUAAGUCGAAUAGAGGCUAAACAGCCUCAGGAUCCUAACAGCAGGUCUUCUCCAGUCUUGGGAACAAGAUGCCAAGUUCUGUGAGCUGUAGAGAAGUGCAUAAAGAUGGAUGAAGGUGUGAGGGCAGCAGGGAUACUGCCGGAGAUCAUCUGAGGUGAGCUGGAAGAAACCUUGGCUGUGUCCUAUUCUCCCUUGCUGGAGGGACUGUCCCUUCCACCAGCCUAGCCACUGCCUGGGCAGCCUAGGAGAGCAUUGCUGUGUGCACAGUGCAUUUGCUGAGGACACUAGGGAACAGGGAGCUGUUCACAGUGACCCUGCAGAUGAGUCUGUGAAAGCACAGAAUUUGAAGGAAGUGAAAUCAAUGAAAGCCUAUAGGAUCCACUAUAAAUCUGUAGUGGUUUAGGACAGUGUUCUAAAUAGUUUCCACAGUCUGAAGUAACAACCUUUUUCAUUCUUAGGUUGGUGCAAAUGCU
ensembl:lncRNA